AUUCAGAUCUUAGGAGCAUUACAAAGUCAUAUCUAACACUGUUGUUAUCAGUUGCAUUAUGUAUCUUUUUCCAUGGUUCUUGAUGCAGUGAAUUCAUUGUAAUGUUGAAAUUUUUAUCUAUGUUUCUAGAAGGAAAAACAGCAGUGGACUUGCAGCAUUAUGUUAAUGACCUAAGAGACAAAGUUAAUCAAGGCAGAAGUUUUUAAGUACCUUGAACUAUGAAGAGCAACAUCUUACAAGGGUAUAUGUUGAAUUGCAUAUUUUGCUGACCUAUGUUCAAUGACCAGUAACCAAUUAAUUUUUUAAAUUAAACUAUCAAAUUUAUUUACAGUGCUUAAGCAAUACAAAUGGAUCCUGUUGACUGAUCAGAAAACUAGCAAGAAAAAAUAAAGGAAAAAAGCCUUAACUUCCCAGAAUCAAGUCUGAGACAGUGGAUCGAACAUUUUAAAAGAAAUGUUUCCCGAGACAGAGAGAGGCACUGCAAAAUUGUCUGGAGUGCCCAUGGAUAUAUCUGCUGGAUUGAAGACUAGUUAUUUAAGAGGAAAAAAAACCGCGACAAAGCAGCCUUCAGCCCCAAGGCCACAGAUAGCUAUCUGAGAUACUGUGGACACAGCGAACAAGGAGGAAGUGCCAGUAGAGAUAGAAAACUGGAUUAAGUGAUGGCUGAAAAUAUGUUCAGCUCUGCUCUUUGUCCUCAACUUACUCAUUAUUGUGAUGGGUAAACAUUACUUUGCAAAAGCAUUUUCUUCUUUUGAUGUAGUCCAAAUAAAUAAUUACAAAUUGUAUUUGUAGAGUUGAUG
rnacentral:lncRNA from 1 species